GUAUUUAUAGCUCAAAGUGGUAGAGCGCAUGCUUAGCAUGCACGAGGUCCUGGGUUCAAUCCCCAGUGCCUCCU
rnacentral:tRNA from 1 species